rnacentral:rRNA from 1 species
CCAGACAGCCAGGAUGUUGGCUUAGAAGCAGCCAUCAUUUAAAGAAAGCGUAAUAGCUCACUGGUCGAGUCGGCCUGCGCGGAAGAUGUAACGGGGCUAAACCAUGCACCGAAGCUGCGGCAGCGACACUAUGUGUUGUUGGGUAGGGGAGCGUUCUGUAAGCCUGCGAAGGUGUGCUGUGAGGCAUGCUGGAGGUAUCAGAAGUGCGAAUGCUGACAUAAGUAACGAUAAAGCGGGUGAAAAGCCCGCUCGCCGGAAGAC